ensembl:ncRNA C40H5.10 ncRNA
ACAUGAAGAUGAGAAGAAGGGACACACACAGAAGCACUCUUGGACGACGUCCUUUCUUUCAAUAAAACAGGGAAACAGACGAAUGUGGAGGGGGCAUAGGAACCGGAGCAUAGGCUCUAGGAGUCGACUGAAU